rnacentral:lncRNA from 1 species
UUCAGUCCUUGAUUUAUUCUCUGCUCUUCUUCCCAUCAUGGGGAGGCUCAUUGCAGCCACCCUCUUCCUCCUCAUCUUCACACUCCUGCAUUCCUCCCAUGCGUGUCCCAAAUGUCCAUAUCCCACUCCCUCCAUCCCACACCCUAAGCACCACCCGAAGCACCCUCCCAAGGUGAAACCCUACCCUAAGCCCAAACCUCACCCUCCAAAGCCACCAGUAGUUGGCCCUCCUAAACCUCCUCCGGUUGUCCCACCACCACUCCCACCUGUAGUUGUUCCCCAACCUCCUCCCUAUGUGAAGCCUCCGCCUGUGCCGCCCGUUGUCGGUCCACCCAAGCCUCCUCCGGUGGUGUACCCCCCCGUGCCGCCUGUUGUCGGUCCACCCAAGCCUCCUCCGGUGGUGUACCCGCCCGUUCCGCCCGUUGUCGGGCCACCCAAGCCUCCUCCGGUGGUGUACCCGCCCGUUCCGCCUGUUGUCGGGCCACCCAAGCCACCUCCGGUGGUGUACCCACCCCAGCCGUGCCCGCCGCCGCCGCCGCCGCCGCCCAAGGAGACAUGCCCGGCGGACACGCUGAAGCUGGGAGC